GAUGAACGCUGGCGGCGUGCCUAAUACAUGCAAGUCGAGCGAACGGACGAGAAGCUUGCUUCUCUGAUGUUAGCGGCGGACGGGUGAGUAACACGUGGAUAACCUACCUAUAAGACUGGGAUAACUUCGGGAAACCGGAGCUAAUACCGGAUAAUAUUUUGAACCGCAUGGUUCAAAAGUGAAAGACGGUCUUGCUGUCACUUAUAGAUGGAUCCGCGCUGCAUUAGCUAGUUGGUAAGGUAACGGCUUACCAAGGCAACGAUGCAUAGCCGACCUGAGAGGGUGAUCAGCCACACUGGAACUGAGACACGGUCCAGACUCCUACGGGAGGCAGCAGUAGGGAAUCUUCCGCAAUGGGCGAAAGCCUGACGGAGCAACGCCGCGUGAGUGAUGAAGGUCUUCGGAUCGUAAAACUCUGUUAUUAGGGAAGAACAUAUGUGUAAGUAACUGUGCACAUCUUGACGGUACCUAAUCAGAAAGCCACGGCUAACUACGUGCCAGCAGCCGCGGUAAUACGUAGGUGGCAAGCGUUAUCCGGAAUUAUUGGGCGUAAAGCGCGCGUAGGCGGUUUUUUAAGUCUGAUGUGAAAGCCCACGGCUCAGCCGUGGAGGGUCAUUGGAAACUGGAAAACUUGAGUGCAGAAGAGGAAAGUGGAAUUCCAUGUGUAGCGGUGAAAUGCGCAGAGAUAUGGAGGAACACCAGUGGCGAAGGCGACUUUCUGGUCUGUAACUGACGCUGAUGUGCGAAAGCGUGGGGAUCAAACAGGAUUAGAUACCCUGGUAGUCCACGCCGUAAACGAUGAGUGCUAAGUGUUAGGGGGUUUCCGCCUCUUAGUGCUGCAGCUAACGCAUUAAGCACUCCGCCUGGGGAGUACGACCGCAAGGUUGAAACUCAAAGGAAUUGACGGGGACCCGCACAAGCGGUGGAGCAUGUGGUUUAAUUCGAAGCAACGCGAAGAACCUUACCAAAUCUUGACAUCCUUUGACAACUCUAGAGAUAGAGCCUUCCCCUUCGGGGGACAAAGUGACAGGUGGUGCAUGGUUGUCGUCAGCUCGUGUCGUGAGAUGUUGGGUUAAGUCCCGCAACGAGCGCAACCCUUAAGCUUAGUUGCCAUCAUUAAGUUGGGCACUCUAAGUUGACUGCCGGUGACAAACCGGAGGAAGGUGGGGAUGACGUCAAAUCAUCAUGCCCCUUAUGAUUUGGGCUACACGCGUGCUACAAUGGACAAUACAAAGGGCAGCGAAACCGCGAGGUCAAGCAAAUCCCAUAAAGUUGUUCUCAGUUCGGAUUGUAGUCUGCAACUCGACUACAUGAAGCUGGAAUCGCUAGUAAUCGUAGAUCAGCAUGCUACGGUGAAUACGUUCCCGGGUCU
rnacentral:rRNA from 1 species